UUUGGGGAAGAGAAGAAGACAGCUAUAACCUCAUUACUCCAGAGAACUCCCUCUCUACUUGCUGCUAAUUACUAAUAUUUGGUUAUAUACACACAAUCAAUGUAGCUUCAUUCAGCCCUCACAGCUCCAUUUUCAAUUGAUUCGAGUGCAGAGACGCUGAAUUGGCUGAGGAGUCAUAACUCAAAAGGGAGUUCUCUGGAGUAAUGAAGUUAUAGCUGUCUUCUUCUCUUCCCCAAA
rnacentral:misc_RNA from 1 species